AAUUUGAAAGCUGGCCCCUUCGGGGUCCGCGUUGUAAUUUGCAGAGGAUGCUUCGGGUGCAGCCCCCGUCUAAGUGCCCUGGAACGGGCCGUCAUAGAGGGUGAGAAUCCCGUCUGGGACGGGGUGUCUGCGUCCGUGUGAAGCUCCUUCGACGAGUCGAGUUGUUUGGGAAUGCAGCUCUAAAUGGGUGGUAAAUUUCAUCUAAAGCUAAAUACUGGCCGGAGACCGAUAGCGCACAAGUAGAGUGAUCGAAAGAUGAAAAGCACUUUGAAAAGAGAGUUAAACAGCACGUGAAAUUGUUGAAAGGGAAGCGUUUGCGACCAGACUCGCCCGCGGGGUUCAGCCGGCAUUCGUGCCGGUGUACUUCCCCGUGGGCGGGCCAGCGUCGGUUUGGGCGGCCGGUCAAAGGCCCUCGGAAUGUAUCACCUCUCGGGGUGUCUUAUAGCCGAGGGUGCAAUGCGGCCUGCCUGGACCGAGGAACGCGCUUCGGCUCGGACGCUGGCGUAAUG
rnacentral:rRNA from 1 species